UGAAAUGUGAGCAUUGAUAUUCAAACGUUGAUUGAAUAUCCACAUUUUUAACAUUAAUACAGACAUCUAAAAAUCACUUUUCCAACUUGCAGUGAAAACAAAAUAGCUUCUGAUUUUUUUCCAGUCGUGAAUAAUCAGUGUCAGGUUACCCUUUCAUUUUUGGAUUUCUCUUUCCCAUCCUCAAAUCGAGUUGCAGAUAUCGAAGACUUGCAGGCGUUGUUUCAAAGCCAGUAAGCUCAUAACUUCUUCCAUAUCAUCAAUCAUUUUACAAUGUUAGCACACCAUCCACAAUUGAUUUAUAUUACUUUUGUUUGAAACAUAAAAAACACUUAUACGUUAGUGUAUACAUUUUAAAUCUUAAAUCAUUACUAGUGAUGGGCACCUAGGCUGCUUUCCUGCUUUAGUAAUUAGCAGUUUGAGCUAUGGGUUUGCCCAACAUGUUUUCAAUUUUUCCAUUUUUUAUGGAAAUAACCAAUGGUUAUAAUGAUUCUUUUUCCCACUCUGUCAAGGGUUUUGAAUUUCAGUUCAUAGUUUCAAUUACUGCUACUAUUUCUCUAAUUUUGGUAGUCUCUACAAUAAUAGUAGGAUGCAAUUUUGCUGUAUUUUCCCACAUGGUAAAUGCUAUGUAACUGCAAUCUCAAACACAAUUCGAAAUCACGAUGCUGUCUGUGCAGGAAAAUUCAUUGAGUUCUUAUCCUGGUGGUGAUAUUGAUGUUAGAUCCUAAGUUUUCUUUGACAUUCUAAGUGGAAAGAUGAAAGCAGGGCGAACUGGAUAGAAGUGUUAAAUGGAUGUCACUGUGAGAAAUGUUAAAGAUGCUAAGACAUCUGCACUGAGAGAAAGAGGGAAUGCAUAUCUGGGAAAUCUUGUUUUACUAGUUAAUGGUGAAUUGUUGUUUGGAUGUUGUUGAGGG
rnacentral:lncRNA from 1 species